rfam:Tupaia chinensis contig214347, whole genome shotgun sequence.
GUGCUCACUUCGGCAGCAUAUAUACUAAAAUUGUAACAAUACAGAGAUCAGCAUGGCCCUUGCACAAGAUGGCAUGCAAAUUCAUGAAGCAUUCCGUAUUUUU